UAAUGUCAUACUACAUUUUGUUCAAUUCAACUAACCACAUCUUAUUAAUGUAUAGUUUCUCCUGUGGUAUGCUAAUGCUUGGUUGCAUUAAGCAUUGUGCCCGUAAUGGUCCUGAUACUAGUUACUCUCUGGAGAAGAACUUGAAGAAGAGGUUGUUUUUGGAGGAUGCAAACAAUUCUUGCAACGAAUUAUUAGCAAAAUUUGAUGAAAUUCUGCCCAAGGAUCGAGUCCGGCCCAGAAGGACAUUGUCUUCUCAAAACACUUUGUAGUUGUGGUCAGUUAGGUAUUUUUAGGUGGUGGAAUUAUUAGUUAAUCUAAGGGAAAACUAUUGGGGUAUUUUUGGGGUGUGAAUUAGAAUAUUUAGGUGGUUAUUUGUGGCGGUGUGUUUAACCAAGUGGUUGGUGUUUAUGUGUACUUUGUUGUUGUAGACAAUGCAGGUUGCUUAGACUGUUUGUUGCUUAAUAAUUUGUGGAAUUAUUAGUUAAUCUAAGUGGUUGGUGUUUAUGUGUA